rnacentral:rRNA from 1 species
UUAAGCGACUAAGCGUACACGGUGGAUGCCCUGGCAGUCAGAGGCGAUGAAGGACGUGCUAAUCUGCGAUAAGCGUCGGUGAGGUGAUAUGAACCGUUAUAACCGGCGAUUUCCGAAUGGGGAAACCCAGUGUGUUUCGACACACUAUCAUUAACUGAAUCCAUAGGUUAAUGAGGCGAACCGGGGGAACUGAAACAUCUAAGUACCCCGAGGAAAAGAAAUCAACCGAGAUUCCCCAGUAGCGGCGAGCGAACGGGGAGGAGCCCAGAGCCUGAAUCAGUGUGUGUGUUAGUGGAAGCGUCUGGAAAGGCGCGCGAUACAGGGUGACAGCCCCGUACACAAAAAUGCACAUAUUGUGAGCUCGAUGAGUAGGGCGGACACGUGGUAUCUGUCUGAAUAUGGGGGGACCAUCCUCCAAGGCUAAAUACUCCUGACUGACCGAUAGUGAACCAGUACCGUGAGGGAAAGGCGAAAAGAACCUCGGCGAGGGAGUGAAAAAGAACCUGAAACCGUGUACGUACAAGCAGUGGGAGCCUCUUAAUGGGGUGACUGCGUACCUUUUGUAUAAUGGGUCAGCGACUUAUAUUCUGUAGCAAGGUUAACCGAAUAGGGGAGCCGAAGGGAAACCGAGUCUUAACUGGGCGUUAAGUUGCAGGGUAUAGACCCGAAACCCGGUGAUCUAGCCAUGGGCAGGUUGAAGGUUGGGUAACACUAACUGGAGGACCGAACCGACUAAUGUUGAAAAAUUAAGCGGAUGACUUGUGGCUGGGGGUGAAAGGCCAAUCAAACCGGGAGAUAGCUGGUUCUCCCCGAAAGCUAUUUAGGUAGCGCCUCGUGAAUUCAUCUCCGGGGGUAGAGCACUGUUUCGGCAAGGGGGUCAUCCCGACUUACCAACCCGAUGCAAACUGCGAAUACCGGAGAAUGUUAUCACGGGAGACACACGGCGGGUGCUAACGUCCGUCGUGAAGAGGGAAACAACCCAGACCGCCAGCUAAGGUCCCAAAGUCAUGGUUAAGUGGGAAACGAUGUGGGAAGGCCCAGACAGCCAGGAUGUUGGCUUAGAAGCAGCCAUCAUUUAAAGAAAGCGUAAUAGCUCACUGGUCGAGUCGGCCUGCGCGGAAGAUGUAACGGGGCUAAACCAUGCACCGAAGCUGCGGCAGCGACACUAUGUGUUGUUGGGUAGGGGAGCGUUCUGUAAGCCUGUGAAGGUGGCCUGUGAGGGUUGCUGGAGGUAUCAGAAGUGCGAAUGCUGACAUAAGUAACGAUAAAGCGGGUGAAAAGCCCGCUCGCCGGAAGACCAAGGGUUCCUGUCCAACGUUAAUCGGGGCAGGGUGAGUCGACCCCUAAGGCGAGGCCGAAAGGCGUAGUCGAUGGGAAACAGGUUAAUAUUCCUGUACUUGGUGUUACUGCGAAGGGGGGACGGAGAAGGCUAUGUUGGCCGGGCGACGGUUGUCCCGGUUUAAGCGUGUAGGCUGGUUUUCCAGGCAAAUCCGGAAAAUCAAGGCUGAGGCGUGAUGACGAGGCACUACGGUGCUGAAGCGACAAAUGCCCUGCUUCCAGGAAAAGCCUCUAAGCAUCAGGUAACAUCAAAUCGUACCCCAAACCGACACAGGUGGUCAGGUAGAGAAUACCAAGGCGCUUGAGAGAACUCGGGUGAAGGAACUAGGCAAAAUGGUGCCGUAACUUCGGGAGAAGGCACGCUGAUAUGUAGGUGAAGCGACUUGCUCGUGGAGCUGAAAUCAGUCGAAGAUACCAGCUGGCUGCAACUGUUUAUUAAAAACACAGCACUGUGCAAACACGAAAGUGGACGUAUACGGUGUGACGCCUGCCCGGUGCCGGAAGGUUAAUUGAUGGGGUUAGCGGUAACGCGAAGCUCUUGAUCGAAGCCCCGGUAAACGGCGGCCGUAACUAUAACGGUCCUAAGGUAGCGAAAUUCCUUGUCGGGUAAGUUCCGACCUGCACGAAUGGCGUAAUGAUGGCCAGGCUGUCUCCACCCGAGACUCAGUGAAAUUGAACUCGCUGUGAAGAUGCAGUGUACCCGCGGCAAGACGGAAAGACCCGUGAACCUUUACUAUAGCUUGACACUGAACAUUGAGCCUUGAUGUGUAGGAUAGGUGGGAGGCUUUGAAGUGUGGACGCCAGUCUGCAUGGAGCCGACCUUGAAAUACCACCCUUUAAUGUUUGAUGUUCUAACGUGGGCCCCUUACCGGGGUUGCGGACAGUGUCUGGUGGGUAGUUUGACUGGGGCGGUCUCCUCCUAAAGAGUAACGGAGGAGCACGAAGGUUGGCUAAUCCUGGUCGGACAUCAGGAGGUUAGUGCAAUGGCAUAAGCCAGCUUGACUGCGAGCGUGACGGCGCGAGCAGGUGCGAAAGCAGGUCAUAGUGAUCCGGUGGUUCUGAAUGGAAGGGCCAUCGCUCAACGGAUAAAAGGUACUCCGGGGAUAACAGGCUGAUACCGCCCAAGAGUUCAUAUCGACGGCGGUGUUUGGCACCUCGAUGUCGGCUCAUCACAUCCUGGGGCUGAAGUAGGUCCCAAGGGUAUGGCUGUUCGCCAUUUAAAGUGGUACGCGAGCUGGGUUUAGAACGUCGUGAGACAGUUCGGUCCCUAUCUGCCGUGGGCGCUGGAGAACUGAGGGGGGCUGCUCCUAGUACGAGAGGACCGGAGUGGACGCAUCACUGGUGUUCGGGUUGUCAUGCCAAUGGCACUGCCCGGUAGCUAAAUGCGGAAGAGAUAAGUGCUGAAAGCAUCUAAGCACGAAACUUGCCCCGAGAUGAGUUCUCCCUGACUCCUUGAGAGUCCUGAAGGAACGUUGAAGACGACGACGUUGAUAGGCCGGGUGUGUAAGCGCAGCGAUGCGUUGAGCUAACCGGUACUAAUGAACCGUGAGGCUUAACCUU